UACGGAGGGUGCAAGCGUUAUCCGGAUUCACUGGGUUUAAAGGGUGCGUAGGCGGUUAGGUAAGUCCGUGGUGAAAUCCUGCAGCUUAACUGCAGAACUGCCAUGGAUACUAUUUAUCUUGAAUGUCGUGGAGGUUAGCGGAAUAUGUCAUGUAGCGGUGAAAUGCUUAGAUAUGACAUAGAACACCCAUGGCGAAGGCAGCUAACUACGCGAUAAUUGACGCGGAUGCACGAAAGCGUGGGGAUCAAACAGG
rnacentral:rRNA from 1 species